CACGAACAGGGCAAACCCGCCGCGAGACGGGGACGCAAAGUUUCCGGUCUCGAUACCCAAGCCCUUCAGGGGUGCUCCCCACUGGCAGUCGAGACAGCGGGAUUGCCGGCA
rnacentral:ncRNA from 1 species